UGGGGAAUAUUGCACAAUGGGCGCAAGCCUGAUGCAGCCAUGCCGCGUGUAUGAAGAAGGCCUUCGGGUUGUAAAGUACUUUCAGUCGGGAGGAAGGUGGUAAGGUUAAUAACCUUAUCAAUUGACGUUACCGACAGAAGAAGCACCGGCUAACUCCGUGCCAGCAGCCGCGGUAAUACGGAGGGUGCAAGCGUUAAUCGGAAUUACUGGGCGUAAAGCGCACGCAGGCGGUUGAUUGAGUCAGAUGUGAAAUCCCCGGGCUUAACCCGGGAAUUGCAUCUGAUACUGGUCAGCUAGAGUCUUGUAGAGGGGGGUAGAAUUCCAUGUGUAGCGGUGAAAUGCGUAGAGAUGUGGAGGAAUACCGGUGGCGGAGGCGGCCCCCUGGACAAAGACUGACGCUCAGGUGCGAAAGCGUGGGGAGCAAACAGG
rnacentral:rRNA from 1 species